GAAAAGCAAGAAUAAUUUACUUUGUUUUUCUUUUAUUAUUUUUACAGGCAACAGUGAUAAAUAGGAUUUGUGCAAUGGUAGUAACAAAUCAUCAUCUGUUGAAAAUGGCACUCAAGCAAAAUUGUGCAUUGAUUCUGAUCUUAAUAACAUCAGCCACAAUAUAGAAAACCCUCUAUAGUUUUCUACUUAUUCUCCGGACAAGUUAUGGAUGGCGAAUGUGAAAAGGUUACAAUUUACAAUUUGGUGGCUUAUUAAGAGAAUCAGUUAUCAAUGAAAUUAAUUUUGAUGAUGUUAAUUCACAAUGCCAAACGACAAACUCCAUUUGUCCAAAGAAUAAGCACAUCCAAUGCGAUAUACACUCCUCUGACAUGGCAGCAGGGAGAUCCAAGAAGAUCAUAUACCACAGAUAUUGAAAUGAGCAAAAUCUGAACCUGACUUUACGAUGACUAACUAACAAUUAUUUUUCAUAUUUAUACUUUUUACUAUAUUUAUAUUUAUACUAUUUAUACUUAUGUUAUUUUCAACUAUUUAUAGUCACCAGCUGUACCUGCAAGUUCCAAUGGUGGUACUGGAAUAAUAACAAAAGAACAUACAAGAGCAUCUCUUUUAUCCGAGCUUUUGUCAAUCAUAGGAGAUACAAACUACAACUACGACGACUAACAACUAUAUGAUAACCAAUCUAUUGAGGGUGAUGAUACUGUUACUACAGUUUCUCCAUUAUACAAACAAAUGCUGAAUGUUUUUGUGGAGAAAGCUGCUAUUGAAGAUGCAAUUUACUAUCUUGCUGAAGGAUUGCGAAGCAGCACAAUUGAUUUGGAUGCUUUCCUCAAACAAAUCAGGCACCUAUCGAGAAGACAAUUCAUACUCAGGGCACUCGUGUCUGCACUUUGAAAGCAGAAAGCUGGAUUAGCAAAUUAAAAAAAAAGAAAGAUCCUUUCACAUUAUUAUUUUAUUUUUCAAAAUGUAUCAAAGUUUGCUGAUACACGUCUAUAGUAUCAUCCUCAUCCAUCUGUAUAACAUAGAAGUCCAGUUCAUGAACAGGUUGACUGACCAUCAAACCAGAAUCGCACUGCAGUAAUUGCAAGUUGUCUGCAAUUGCUUGUUCAUAAAGUGUUUGGGAUAAAUUAAAUCCUGCAUACCUUUCAGACUUCUGACAUAAGCAACAUAGUGACGUAACACAUUACUUGCAAUGGGUUCUUCAUAUGCUAUUACACCAGUUAAAAUAAACUUUCCAGUAGAAAAUGUUAGAACAGGUACUAAUUGAUCUAAGUUUACGAUUUUAGCUUCUUUUUCCACAUUUAUACAAAACAGAUCACUUAUUGAAUAUUGACAUAUAAUAUCUGUGUUUGAACAAAUAUUGCAACAAUUUCUUUUUGCUAGCAGACAAUUAUGUAUGAUAACUGACAAGUUUUCAGAGACUAACUCUUCAAAUGAAACUUCCACUAGAUUACAAUAUUGAUAAUUACUUAGUUUGCAAUCAAGACACUCCAUUUUUAUAAAAAUGUUUGGAUACAUGAUAUAUUCAAAAAAUUCUCCUAUUGACUUAUUCCAUGUUAAUUUAUUAUUUGUUGAUUGGCACACAUUCUCGAUUAAUUUAAUUCUUUCCGCAUACAAUUUUGUAAAAUUAAAUGUUCUAAUAUACUCUUUAAAUAAAUUUUAAAUUUCUAACGCAAGGUUAUAACCAACAUUGUCAGUUUCUAUAUUGCAUAUAUACAAUCAGAGUAUCAGCUGUCAGAUGCAUAUGGUUUGUUUACAUUAGAGAGAAUCAGAUGUGUAUUUCAUCAAAAUUUCUCAGAAGAAAUUUGUUCUAAAAAAGAAACUAAAGAUAAUGUGUAAUAAAUCCACGUAUUUGAUAAAAGUUUCUACAAUAAGUAAAGUACAAAAAAACACUUGUUCAAAGCUGCUGCAAGCAUUGGAGCACCAAGAGACCGCUGUGAGUCAGGUGCUGCGACAAGUUGACCUCCACUGAUCUCAACUCAUUCCUACUGAGCAUCUCCAAUUGUAUCAUCCUCCUUGAGGAUGUCAUCCUGGUGAGGAUGUCUACGAAUCUGCUUGUAUCAAUGUAGAUCCCUUCAGCGAGACACCACUUGAUAUAGAUGUCACUUAUACAGUUUUUUCUACUGCACCUUACAAAUACUUACAUACAAAUAGCAGUCAACCCAGAAGGUACGAUAAAAGCUAGAUGUUGUGUUGAUGUUCUUAUGCAACAUGAACU